rnacentral:rRNA from 1 species
AUUUACAAUGGUUUGCCUAUGUUGAAAGCAUUGGUUCUCAUCCAAUCACUGAAGUCAAGCAACGUCGAGCCUAGUUAGGACUUAGAUGCGUGACUGCUUGGGAAGCCUAGGUGCUGUAAGCA